CUCUUUCUUGCUUUGCCUCAUAAUUUUGGACUUACCUAGUAGCUUCUUCUUCUUUUUUUUUUUUUUCCUUUUUCACAUCAGAUGGGAAAUGUGCCAACGUCACAACAAGGUUUGAGGGAGGCACAUCUCAUGCUCGGACAUGAACACCCGAUCAUCAUGCUUAUGAACUACAAAAGGAUCUCCAGUAUGGGCUCACGGCAGCCUAUUCAACGUGAAGAUGACUAAGACAGCAUACCAGCGGUCCAAAUGAUGCCGACUGAGAUCCA
rnacentral:lncRNA from 1 species